rnacentral:rRNA from 1 species
AUUGAACGCUGGCGGCAGGCCUAACACAUGCAAGUCGAGCGGAUGAAGGGAGCUUGCUCCUGGAUUCAGCGGCGGACGGGUGAGUAAUGCCUAGGAAUCUGCCUGGUAGUGGGGGAUAACGUCCGGAAACGGGCGCUAAUACCGCAUACGUCCUGAGGGAGAAAGUGGGGGAUCUUCGGACCUCACGCUAACAGAUGAGCCUAGGUCGGAUUAGCUAGUUGGUGGGGUAAAGGCCUACCAAGGCGACGAUCCGUAACUGGUCUGAGAGGGUGAUCAGUCACACUGGAACUGAGACACGGUCCAGACUCCUACGGGAGGCAGCAGUGGGGAAUAUUGGACAAUGGGCGAAAGCCUGAUCCAGCCAUGCCGCGUGUGUGAAGAAGGUCUUCGGAUUGUAAAGCACUUUAAGUUGGGAGGAAGGGCAGUAAGUUAAUACCUUGCUGUUUUGACGUUACCAACAGAAUAAGCACCGGCUAACUUCGUG